rnacentral:tmRNA from 1 species
GGGGCUGACCGGUUUUGACAGCGGGUAGAAGUGGUGGGUAAGCAUGCAGAGCGUUGUUGCCCCGCUCUAUAAUAUCAGACAACAAAAAUUUAACUGGCGAAAAUAACUACGCUCUUGCUGCUUAAUCGAAGUACAGUAGAUUAGCUUA